GGCGGGGGGCACUGGCGGGGCACCUGUGGAGAUUAGAAGGCGCGUUGUCGUUGGGGUAGACACCAUGUGACACCUCUUCCCCCACUGCAUCCUGUGCCUUAGGGUUCAAUGGGGUGUUCGUGCUCCGGACAUCCUGAGCCCACGUCCCCCCAGCUCAGUGCAGCCAUGAGUGCCGAGGUGAAGGUGACAGGGCAGAACCAGGAGCAGUUUCUGCUCCUGGCCAAGUCUGCCAAGGGGGCGGCGCUGGCCACACUCAUCCACCAGGUGCUGGAGGCCCCUGGUGUCUACGUGUUUGGGGAACUGCUGGAUAUGCCUAAUGUUAGAGAGCUGGCUGAGAGUGACUUCGCUUCCACAUUCCGCCUGCUCACAGUGUUUGCUUAUGGGACGUAUGCUGACUAUUUAGCUGAAGCCCGGAAUCUCCCCCCACUCACAGAGGCUCAGAAGAAUAAGCUUCGACACCUGUCGGUCGUCACCCUAGCUGCCAAAGUCAAGUGUAUCCCAUAUGCAGUGCUGCUGGAGGCCCUGGCCCUGCGCAACGUGCGGCAGCUGGAAGACCUGGUCAUAGAGGCCGUGUACGCCGACGUGCUCCGUGGCUCCCUGGACCAGCGCAAUCAGCGGCUGGAGGUUGACUACAGCAUUGGGCGGGACAUCCAGCGCCAGGACCUGAGUGCCAUUGCCCGAACCCUACAGGAGUGGUGUGUGGGCUGCGAGGUAGUGCUGUCAGGCAUUGAGGAGCAGGUGAGCCGUGCCAACCAGCACAAGGAGCAGCAGCUGGGCCUGAAGCAGCAGAUUGAGAGUGAGGUCGCCAACCUUAAGAAAACCAUUAAAGUUACAACAGCAGCAGCCGCCGCAGCCACAUCUCAGGACCCCGAGCAACACCUGACUGAACUGAGAGAACCAGCUGCUGGCACCAACCAGCGCCAGCCCAGCAAGAAAGCCUCAAAGGGCAAGGGCCCCAAGCACACCAUGGUGGUGAUAGCUGCAACAAUGACAGCGAGAGUGGCUCAGCAGGCACUUAAAAUUCUGAGAGGAGAAUCCAUAUCUGACCAGAAGAAUUAUGGUCCCACAAGUCUUCAUAUAUCCAAAUGUUCUUUGCCUCAGGCCCCACAGACAUACGGCUGACAUCCUGGAUGGAGAACACUGACAUCUUGGGGAUAAUUGUCCAGAAGCUGUACGUUCUCCAGUUGACAGGCUACAUGAAGAGAAUGGGAUGGAUGCUGGGGCAGCACCCUGUUCUCCAAAAGAUAAGGUCUUCGGGGCUGACGAGAAGAAUCGUAAAGGGCAGAGAAAGGGCAAGGAAUUCUGACCUCACCUCAGGGACAGGACCUGGGCUCAGAGCAGGAAGCACCACUGCUCCUCCUUGUCCCUGGACAUCCAUUCAAGGUAGACACUGAGUCUGGGAAGGCUCAGAGCUAUCAGCACCCCACAGGGGGCCUUGAGGCUCACCUACUCCAGCAGCUCUGCCAGCCUUCGGCAUCCCAACCCCUUUAGAUCUUCCCUCCAGCCAUUCCAGCUCCAUGUCCCCCGCAGGUUCUCCCCAGGGAUGGAGGCAAGCUGGGAGGCUCCUUGUGGGAACCAGCUAUUCAGUCUUUUCUCCGAGUGCCCUCCUUGGUUGCUUCUCUUAUCUUUCAGCACCUCCUCUGCCCAAAUGCCCCUAUCGUCAUCUCUCCUCCUCCAGUGUGGCUUCACCUGGCUCCCACCUCUCCUGUCUGAAGCCCCCAGUGAUGUCUAAGGCGAAGGCUACUUUUUUCUUGUUCCUAGCCCAAGGGGAAUGGCCUGAGAGAAGGAACUCUUGACUCUUGUUGCUCCUUCAGCCUCUUUCCCAGGACUGUGAGCUUAAGGGCAGGACAGGUACAUAAAGUUAAGUGGCCAGGAAUACGUGGGCUAGGAGACCAGCCCUCGUUCUCUGGGUAGCCUGAUUAUAUAACUCGGGAUUGAAUAGGCGUCACUGGGCAAAAGAUGUUACUAGAACCUGAAGCCCUUUGUUAGCACAGGAGGGGGGCAAAUCUCAAACUGCAAGUGGGGCGGGAUCAGAAUGGACCAAAACAUUUGUUUCUACUUGUUGGUCUGUGAACUGAGCGAUGACAAGGUGAAAGAUGAUAGUUGGUAGCUGGGAGAAGGGAGGGCUUGAAGCUGAUUCAAGGCCAGUAAGAUGGAAGUUCGGUUGUGUCUAGCAGUAUUUUCAGAGUCCUGUGGGUGGAAUGAAGGAUGAGGACCAGAGAGAGCACUGAAGGAGCCAGACUGAGACAGGACAAUUGGGGAGAAACCAUUUAUAUCCCAUGCUGUUUCUCCUCUGUGUCAAAAACUUUCUCUGCACUCUCCUCAUCAGCACCGCCACAGUGCCCAGAAAGGCCCAUUUUACAGAACAGGAAACUGAUGUGGAGAGAUGAAGAACCUUCCCCAGAGUUGUAGGUAAGUUCUGGAACAACAUAUCACUGCCGAGAACAGGCCCGCGGGAGUAGGUGUUGGGUUGAAGGGAAGACCUCACCCAAGAGCAGGGAGCUGGGAUGAAAAUUGGUUCAUGUAUCUGAAAGCCAGAACCCAAAUGGGAGAGCUUGUGACUCAGCUACAUGGCAAGGGCAACCCUUGCCCUGCGACAGCCCCCACUCAGAACUACACCCACGUGUGGGUGCUGGAGCAGAAAUCCAGGAUGAGAUUGGGCACUACUGCAGCCUGAGGUUUUGUAGCCCAAGACCACAUGGCUAGGUUGGUGGCAGAACUGAAUGGAAGACCCAGCCUCUGGGCUCCUUCAGUAACUCCAGUGAUUCCUCAGGGGCCGCCCCCUCAGGAGACUAAUAAGGCCACUCCCCCUGCUAGAGGAAGUGAGUGUGUGUCUAUCUGGACUGAGCAGAUUACACUCGUAGCUGAGGGCUAUGGACACUGAGUUCCAUCAACCAUAACUCAGCACCCAGCACCUAGGUGGAGGUUGGAUUAGCUAUACCUGUUUAACCUCUGGAAUUCUUGGGUUCUGGUGUGGAGCUUUUUUGUUUUUAUUAAUUUCUAAAGAGAAAGGGAGAGGGAGAGAGACAGAGAACCAGAGAGAGAGGAAACAGAAACAUCAAUGUGAGAAACAGAUCAGUUGCCUCCUGUUCCCAAGAGAAACAGAGUGACCCAUUUGCCUGAGCCAGGUCAAGCAGGAGUGAAUGUCUUGAGAAAUUUGAGCACUUCAUGCCCUUCCAGUACCGCUCAGGUUCCGGGUUAGUUUUCUCCUCUGGUCCCCUUCCCUGGGCUCAAAUUCUCACCGCCUGGCAGUGGAGGGUUUGAAGAAUGUUGGGUGGAAUGUUGCUGACCCCAGAGAUCCUCCCACUUGAAGGCCUGCGUAGGGUUAUUUGGACUCCUUCCUGCUCUGUACCACAAGUGUUCCCACCCACAGCCCAUGGGAGAGACUGUGCCUGAGGGACAAGGGGCAGCAAAUUCCUCAGGCACCUCGGAGAUAGGCCCUACAUUCCCCCUGACAAGUGAAGUCACAGCAAAAGCAAGGGAGGACAGCUGAGUCCCACUGCUGCUUCUCCUCUGCCAGUCCCAAUGUCAUUAUCACUGAGGCCCUGGGAUUGAACCUGAGUUAUGAAGGUCACACAUGAAGACAGAAGAAAGGAGAUGACGAGGAGGAGACGAGAGGGUUGAAAUUGAACAGGGAACAGAUUAAAAGUAAAGCCAGAA